AAACCAGGAACCAGUAAGCAUGCGGGUCUCCCAAACCCUCGGGUCAUGCUGUGCUGCUAUUGCCAGGUGCAUUAGCUGGAGUUGGACGGGAAGUGGAGCAGCUGGAACCAAAACCAGUGUGUUGAUGCGGUAUGCGCAUUUUGUCCCCGAAUGGUACAUGGAUGUUUUUUCCCUCUGGCAUUCUGUCACUCCCCCUACACCUCCUCCCCGAACACAUACCUUUUCUGGUAACAAUUUUGGUUUUUCCUUGGGAAACCAUGUUUCACUACUCCUAGUCCAGAAAUAUAAGUAGGUGUAAGAGCCUGAACAAAGCAUGUAUAAAUUAAGUUGGGCUGAUUCUGAAAAUACGGUUAGAAAUGAAUAGUUCUCACUAACAUUGCCUGGCUGCCUGACAGAAUCAAGCUCACACAGAAGAAUGAAGAAAUUAAGACGAAGAGAAGGAAGACGAAGACCUGAUGAUUGCUCAUGCUAGAAAGCAGAGAAUGGAAAUCAGGUAGCAAGAGGAAUGAAGACAGUGAAGUGGCUGGAUCAGGAAUGGUCAAAGCCUGAAGUACAAUCUAGGUCUCCUACAUGCUUGGCUAUAACCCAACCAAGGGAAUCGUCACCAUUGCCUGCUCUGGAGAAAGCUGGAGUCCAAAGCUGGGAAUGGAUCCUGGGUGCUCUCAGGUGAAUCACUAUCAGUUCCUGAUGUUCCAUGGAGCUACUCCUCAGAACACACUUUGCAGAACGUUCAUCUCCUCUGAGCGCACCUGAAAGACGCAGGUGUUUGGAUGUCAAAAUGAGAUCCUCGGCAUGCAGACACUUUGGGCAGUGUGCCCUGCUACAGGUCAUAAGUAAUAUAAUGGGAAGUGGUUAAACAUGCAUCCAUCGUCUAAGCAUCGUGUAAGUCCAAGAGGAGCCUUCGAAACAACAGCCCGAUCCACUGCAACCCAUUCUCAGACCUGCUCUCUUCAGUUCCAGUUCUGCAACUAAGGAAGGUCAUCCUGGGCUAGGAAGUGGUGGAAGUGAUAAGGAGCCAUCCCAGCCA